GCGAGUCGAGCAAGGACCGCGGCAAGGGCAUAAGGCCCUAAGUGAGCUUAGUUAGUAGCUUUUCCUUUAUGCACUAGAGUACCCUCGUGUACUAGAUGAUGUUUUGGAUAGUUAUUGGAGAGCUACUUGUAUUUUGAGGAAAACAUGUAUUCACAUUUUGAAAAAUGAAAAUGUAAUAUAUUCAAAUAAUGUAAAUGUUGAAUGGUUGUAAUAGUUGGACUAUCUCUCUUUAUACACUCGUAUAUUUACUUGUGGUUCUUGCUCUUAGUUAUAGUGCACUUGUGUGCAUCGUAUCGAUCAUGUAUGUUAUUUAAGCCUUCCCUGGGCGCUUAUCUGUACAUGAUCUAGUUGUUUUGCCUUGGUCGGACAGGAGAGGUGCUGUCCGUUCGGCGGUCCGUCCGGCGCGCCCGAACCGUGCCAAAUUGGUAGUGGAUUCGGGGCGGGGCGUGACAGUUACGAUGUCAAUGUGUUGUACAUUUACUCUCUCAUGAUGAAGAAUGUCCAAUGCAUAAGUAAUAUGUCCCAACCUGGCAACAAGUAUCAUGUCCCGUUCUAUCAAUAUAUGAUGAUUAUACUCUAUCAUGGCAACCAAGUAUACAAUGAUACAAUAAGUAAACUAUCAAGUAUACUACAUGUCUCCACCCUAUGCUAUAAGCAUGUCAUAGUAAUCCAACUACUAAUCCUAUCUAGUAGUGAUUAUCAUCUCCCGAUUAAAUGUCAUUGUUUCCAACAUGUUCUAGGACCUACAUGUUGUAGUCCAGCUUGUGCCACCUAAGUGUCGGUGGUAGCUCCAGCAUUCCCACUCUAGGAAUGAGUCUAUCCCUCCCGACCCCGUAGGUUUUCUCGAUACCGCACGAGCGAGUAUAAGUCGUGUAGGCCAACUCCGGAGUGCCGGCUUGUAGGGAGCGACCCUCACAAGCAUGUGCGAAUGAGCACAAAUGGCAAACAAGCGUAAUCAUCGUCUCAAG
rnacentral:lncRNA from 1 species